rnacentral:misc_RNA from 1 species
UACGAAGGGGGCUAGCGUUGUUCGGAAUUACUGGGCGUAAAGCGCGUGUAGGCGGACUGUCAAGUCAGGGGUGAAAUCCCGGGGCUCAACCCCGGAACUGCCUUUGAUACUGUCAGUCUGGAGUCCGGAAGAGGUUGGUGGAAUUCCGAGUGUAGAGGUGAAAUUCGUAGAUAUUCGGAGGAACACCAGAGGCGAAGGCGGCCAACUGGUCCGGUACUGACGCUGAGACGCGAAAGCGUGGGGAGCAAACAGG